rnacentral:misc_RNA from 1 species
GUGUUUGUGGCCGUUCGAAUCGCUUCAACGUUCCCGCUCUGCUAUAAGCGCGUAGCAAAUAAACACAUAUACACAUACAACAAUAAAACGGAGAACAACCCAAGUUCGAGACCCGCGACUAAGCCAUAUAAAGCAGCUCUACCAAAAUGCCGCGUUCGCAUUUCACUAGGAGGCAUUGUCUAGCGAUGACGGGCGGCUUAAUUGCAUUGGCUUUGCUGAUCUUGUGCUUUACACACUCGACGGUCAUCUCGAGCAAGCUCACCGAUCCCGGCACCGACGAGUCUACGCUUGAGCUGUUGCAUGUGGUCUUUCGACAUGGCCCACGCACACCGGCGGACACAUAUCCAACGGAUCCCCAUGUAAAUGAAACCUACUAUCCAUUUGGCUGGGGACAAGUAACAAAUAAUGGCAAACGCGAGCUGUUCAACAUUGGAAGUUGGCUGCGUAAGCGUUAUGGCAAAUUCCUGGCACCCUACUACAGUCCCGAUUUGGUGCACGCACAGGCAACGGGCGUGCCACGCACACACAUGACCAUGCAAACGGUGCUGGCCAGUUUCUUUCCACCGAAAGGUACGCCCAUGGAAUGGAACAGCAAAUACAAUUGGCAGCCCAUACCGGUGUUCUCGCAGGAGCUAAAUGAGGAUACGUUACUUCUUGUGCGCACACCCUGUCCUCGCUACUUUGAAGCCCUGCACGAAGUUUAUGAGCUGCCCGAGGUGAAGAAGGAAAUCGAGCCCUAUCUGGAAAUGUAUAAGGAGCUGGCUGGCCACACCGGGCUCAGUUUCAAUGAACCGGAAGAUGUGCAAUCGCUCUAUCUGACAUUGCUCGCGGAACAGGAAUGGGGUCUAGAGCUGCCCGAAUGGACCAAGCAAUAUUUUCCCGAGAAAAUGCAGUUCCUUACCGAACAGAGUUAUGUGUAUAAUGUGUAUACGCCCGAGAUGCAAAAGAUCAAGGCGGGUCCGUUCCUAAAGAAGAUGUUCAACGAAAUGCAACAGAAGCGUAACGAAACCCUGAAGCCCGACAAACGCAAGCUCUUUAUCUAUACGGGCCACGACUCGACUGUGGUGAAUGUGCUCUCUGCUUUGAAGAUCUGGGAGCGUCAGCUGCCACGUUAUUCGGUCAUGGCAUUGUUCGAGCUGCACAAGAACAAAGAAACCGGCGAUUACUGGGUGGAGAUUUAUUUCCGCAAUAAUCCCAAGGCGCCAGCUGAAAAGUUAACUGUGCCCGGCUGUGAGUUCCAGUGUCCGUUGGAUAAGUUGCUCGAGUUGACUAAAGAUGUGGUGCCCAGCGAGGCAGAUGCCAAGCGAUGUGAUGCCCAAAAUGAGCAGUUCACAGAGCCGCCAUUGCGUGGCCCAUAGUAAGGCUAAAUGGAGGAGGAUGUAUAUUUCUGGAAUCGAACAGGUGCUAAAACUCAGGGAGCCACAAAAAUUUGCAGCUGUCUGGUGUUUGAGCUAGCGCCAGGACCAGCGCCUCAUAUGGCAGCCAAGUUGGCUCAUUUCCGCCUGUGGCGCCGCCAUUGCCCAAUAGGCCGCUUCCGUUUGCCUUUUGCCAGCUCCGCAAACAACUUCCGCACUUAUUUUACCAGCUACCCGACAAAUGUGCCCUCUCUCUAUCUCAUGCCCUCUGUUAUGCUUUGUAUCUUUGAAUCUCGCCCGCCCUUUGGCUUUGCUCAUUUUUGCCAAGAGGUGACAUUUUUCGCAUUGCGGUUUACCAUAAACUAUUUCAUUGGGGAGUUGUUGUCUGUGUACAUUAGCAGUGCUCCAUGCUCCAUGCUCCAUGCUUGGUGCUUGGUGCUGGUGUUCCAUGCAUGCAAUUGCCAGGUCCCCACUCCAAACAGUUCUCCAUUGUUUACUUGUGUGCGUUGCCCAUCUGUCUCUCAAUGUGUGCCCAGCGUCUCGCUUUCUCCUACCAUUCUGUGUGUUUGUGUGUGUGUAUGCUCUUUGCACAUAUCUGUAAACUUUAUUUGUCAACGGGACGCAUAUGCUGUAUGCUUGCCAAAAAAGGAUAAAAAGUAGAAGAAAAAAUAUUAAAAUAAAGGAAUCAUAUCCUCGCUCACAGUCAGCACUCGCGCUGUUAUCCUUGUCUGUUUGUUGUUGCGUUUAAUUUUGCUUAAUUUGAUUUUGGUGGCACUAGAAGGCGAAAUGUUGCUGGGGAGGGGCAAGGAUUUAACAAUGCCUGACAAAUCCACAUGCAUAUGUGGC